AGGAGUUGAAGUUCAAUGCUAUGGAAGAUUCAAGAAGUCUUAGAAAAUUAAAAGUUCAAUCUUAUAUUAAUUUAUUCGCGUGGAAAAAGAUUAUUUUUCAAUUUACAUGGAGUAGGUAAAGUUCAAGUAGAAUUAGAAUGCGUGAGGAGCAGAAGUAUAGGAGUUGAAGAAUGCUAUGGAAGAUUCAAAGUCUUAAAUUAAAGGUUCAAUCAUACAUUAAUUUAUUCGCGUGGAAAAAGAUUAUUUUUCAAUUUACAUGGAGUAGGUAAAGUUCAAGUAGAAUUAGAAUGCGUGAGGAGCAGAAGUAUAGAAGUUGAAGUUCAAUGCUAUGGAAGAUUCAAAGUCUUAAAUUAAAGGUUCAAUCAUACAUUAAUUUAUUCGCGUAGAAAAAGAUUAUUUUUCAAUUUACAUGGAGUAGGUAAAGUUCAAAUAGAAUUAAAACGAGUGAGGUGGGAAUUCUUCAACACUCUCUGAAACGUGUCCUUAAUAAAUCAAAAAGAACGCAUGCUUUUCCACGGAAUAUCUUUAAUUGUGAUAAAUCUUACUAAUCCCUAAAGCACAUAAUUCCGAGAAUGAUCGCUUUUUGUUUUCGU